rnacentral:rRNA from 1 species
ACUCAAAUGAAUUGACGGGGGCCCGCACAAGCGGCGGAGCAUGCGGAUUAAUUCGAUGCAACGCGAAGAACCUUACCUGGGUUUGACAUACGCCGGAAAGCUCUAGAGAUAGAGCCCCUUUUAGUCGGUGUACAGGUGGUGCAUGGCUGUCGUCAGCUCGUGUCGUGAGAUGUUGGGUUAAGUCCCGCAACGAGCGCAACCCUCGUUCCAUGUUGCCAGCAGCACUUAGGUCUCGCCUUCGGGUGGGGUCGGUGGCUGGGGACUCAUGGGAGACUGCCGGGGUCAACUCGGAGGAAGGUGGGGAUGACGUCAAGUCAUCAUGCCCCUUAUGUCCAGGGCUUCACGCAUGCUACAAUGGCCGGUACAAAGGGCUGCGAUCCCGUGAGGGGGAGCGAAUCCCAAAAAGCCGGUCUCAGUUCGGAUUGGGGUCUGCAACUCGACCCCAUGAAGUCGGAGUCGCUAGUAAUCGCAGAUCAGCAACGCUGCGGUGAAUACGUUCCCGGGCCUUGUACACACCGCCCGU